GUUGUCUGCAUGCGCGAGGCAGCCUGACAUCAUGUAUCAGGAUGGUGCCUGCAUGGAAACCAAAUGAAACUCUCUGGAGCUUUCCGAAGACUCAGGUUGCCUGUGGAGAGAUGACUGUGAUGGCUGCCAAACUGAUUCGAGGCUUGUUGAUGCAGAGGAGGUGACUGCUGGUGCCCGUGUCUGGUGUAGACUACUCCGCUCCUUGACCCAUUGCUGACCAGAAGUGGUGCUGAGGGGCCAGGCUGCGCCAUGUGAGGGGGGCGCCAGAACCCUCUGGAACCUUCUGGAAGCAGCCAGGGCCUCUCCUCACAGAGCCCCACAGCUGAUGUCUGGA